rnacentral:rRNA from 1 species
GAUGAACGCUAGCGGAAGGCUUAAUACAUGCAAGUCGAGCGGUAGGUGGCUUCGGCCAUUGAGAGCGGCGCACGGGUGAGUAACGCGUACAUGACCUGCCUGUCAGAAGGGGAUAGCCCUGGGAAACUGGGAUUAAUACCCUAUGGUAUUGAUAUUAUGAAUGAUAUCAAUUAAAGUUGAGGCGCUGACAGAUGGAUGUGUCGUCUGAUUAGCUAGUUGGUAGGGUAACGGCCUACCAAGGCGACGAUCAGUAGGGGGCGUGAGAGCGUGGUCCCCCACACGGGUACUGAGACACGGACCCGACUCCUACGGGAGGCAGCAGUAAGGAAUAUUGGUCAAUGCCCGCAAGGGUGAACCAGCCAUUCCGCGUGGAGGAUGAAGGCCCUAUGGGUUGUAAACUUCUUUUAGAUGGGAAGAAAAUGCUAGAUGUAUCUGGUACUGACGGUACCAUCAGAAUAAGCACCGGCUAACUCCGUGCCAGCCGCCGCAGUAAUAC